rnacentral:rRNA from 1 species
GACGAACGCUGGCGGCGUGCCUAACACAUGCAAGUCGAACGGGACUUGAGGGGCUUGCUCCUUAAGUUUAGUGGCGAACGGGUGAGUAACGCGUGAGGAACCUGCCUUUCAGUGGGGGACAACAGUUGGAAACGACUGCUAAUACCGCAUAACAUAAUCGAACCGCAUGAUUUGAUUAUCAAAGCUUUAUGUGCUGAAAGAUGGCCUCGCGUCUGAUUAGCUAGUUGGAGGGGUAACGGCCCACCAAGGCGACGAUCAGUAGCCGGUCUGAGAGGAUGAACGGCCACAUUGGGACUGAGAUACGGCCCAGACGCCUACGGUAGGCAGCAGUGGGGAAUAUUGGGCAAUGGGGGAAACCCUGACCCAGCAACGCCGCGUGAAGGAAGAAGGCUUUCGGGUUGUAAACUUCUUUUACCAGGGACGAAGAACGUGACGGUACCUGGAGAAAAAGCAACGGCUAACUACGUGCCAGCAGCCGCAGUAAUAC